GCUUCACCUCAUGGUGUUGCUUUGAGUUUAUCUCUAUAUAUCUACCUAUACGUGCAUAUUACCUAGCGUAUGCUGUUUACCCGUCCUUGAGGACUUGUAGAAGCUCCCCAAAACUGAAAUCUUAUUUCAUUUUCCUCUGUGGUGAAGAGCCACUUUUUUUUUUUUUUUCUUAAUACUUGUUGGUUGCACUACUCUUGUUUCAAAAGCCUUGUGCAGCUAGUGCACGUUGUUUUUGCUUAUGAAGUUAUGGUCAGUGUUGCAAGGCAUGGUCAAGACUGGUUCAAGUUUUCCAAAGCAUUUGUGCUGGGUGCUUCAACUAGUUAUAUAUGGUGUGUACGGUGUUAAACUAGCUUGUCUUGGUGCAAGAUGGCUUCUUCAGCACUGGCGAUGUGUGCUGCUUGUGCGACAUGCAGCUGGGUAAGCUGUUAAAAGCAUCACCGGCGGGCAUUGUUUGGUGCAUGCCAGCAUAAAGUUGUGCAGAAUCAAUGCCCUCGGGCUCUUUUUCUGCUCGUCCUGUCCAAGCAAGUUUAAGAAGCUGCAUACGGAGGUUUUUUUUUUUUUUCGGGUUUAUUCGAUAUUUCUCGCAAAACAAAGCAGUGCAGCUUCAAGUGAGUCACAAAAAUGUCGGUGGUGGUAUAGCACAAUGUCCUGAAUCUUGUGUAUGGACUGCACGUGAAACUUGUAUUGGUUGUAUUGCCCGCUUCGUGUACGUGUUUAUGCCAUGAGACCUGGCAGGGUACUUGUGUUAUCAAAAAACAGGAACUGUCAGGCUGACUGACAAGGAAUAUAUAGUAUUGCAUACAUACUAAAAGCAUUUGCUGUGGCUUCGUCACCCAUUCAGUUUUUUUUUUUUUUUUUUCUGUGAUGUAAAAGGACACAGUGGUUUAAUUUUGGUUAGGCAGAAGGGGAGAAAGUGACACGAAUAAUAGCAAAUCCUCCCUUGGUAUGGUCCUCACAUUCCUACUAGACGAAAUAAUAAAAAGCACAGCAGACUGAAAUGCCCCAUCAUUCUCAGUUUUUUUUGCGGUCUUGGCUUGUAUUCGGAGUCGGAAGAGCCACUGCUCCAAGGAAGUUUAAGGUACCGCGCAAGCAUCCGUCACCAAGCGAUCACACGGCCACGCUCAAAGGAAGGAGUGGUUUCGUUUAUUUGAACUCGACCAGGCAAGGCAAAGAGCGGAACUGAUGAAAAAGAGAUGCCAGAGGGCAAAGCCAUCCUGAAGAAAGCGCACCAACAAGGAGCACCCUCAUCUCUGCAAAGGAGGCAUGCCUUAAUGAAGAUGGGAGACAAGAUUUAGAAAAAGAAACCCUUAAACAUACGACAGAUGGCAGAAACACACAAGAGCACCUGGGUGGCCUUGUGCACUGGCACGAAUACUUGAACAGAGAAUUGCUGCUGUAGCUGUGUACAAUGUCCAGGAGCCACUCCUUCCAUCUGCAGAUGCAUGCAGUGCAACAAGCCCACACACAUUCCGCAGCCACUAACAGAAACUCUGAGGAGAAAAUGUGCUUCUACAAAUAUACAGCAGAUGUCCGAAACGCCUCGGAACUCGCCAACUUGUGUUACUUGUGCACGUGCGAGUAAAGAACGUACCGAUGCAUCAGUGACACCGAAAGGGUCAAGAUAUUAAAACAUGAAACGUAGCAUGACAGUGCUUUCGUGCACUUUAUAUCUGACUUAUGUGGGCACCUUUUUUUGCCUUCAUUAUUCGUAGCGAUUACGUAGCAUUGGUGCCAGCUUGAAGCUUCCUUCAUUUCACAUUCUGUCAGUGUCUUUCUUAUAUUACAUUGCCUAGCACAUUUGUAUAAGCGGCUAAAAGGCACCAAAGGAACCUUCAUGAACUUAAUCUAUAGAAAGCUUGCCUGAAGGACAAGCUGUGUUUGCAAAGCAAAUGUCUGCUAUCCCUUGAUCCCUCACUUUUGGCUUCUCAGCUGAACCACAACUGUGUGUGUUAAGCUGCAACCAGAAAACUGCAGACAGCAAAGCAAUUUACAAGCUUGGUUUGGGUGUUUGGGUAAAGCGAAAGGUGUGCAGUAUAUUGCCGCUGAGCAUUGCUUCCCUGAUAGGAAGCUGUACACCCCUUUUUGUCAAACAAGGUCGUGCGUGAUGUUCGCUCGAAUCCUCAGUGGCCAUAGGCAGAGAGCAGGCACCUCAUGUGCUCAUUGCAGCAAGAGAGCCGCCACCUUGGAGAAAAUGGCAUUGGAGAAGCUACAUUCAGCUUAGUUGUGAAUACUGUGCUUUUUGCAUUACCUCUGCUGUGGUGUGUGUGCAAGCUCACUGAGGAACCGUACUAGUAGCUCCUGCCUUAUUCGAACAGUCGAUGCCUGGGAGCAUCGCAUAAACCCUGCAAAGUGAUGUCUUAAGAGCUGUGGAUACACUAGCAAGUUAUUAGUGCCUUAUGCUCAAGACUUCUUAUACACGCAAUCAUUGACUGCGUACCGUAUAUUGCUGGUUUUUUAAACGUGGAAAGCUGCCCAUUUUUAGUGGUGUAAUCUCUGGUGUGUCAGUGCUGGUUUGGAGGUUACGAACGGCUGUGGCAAGAAUUUGUGCAAGCCAAAAUGAAUUGUGGUAGCACCAGAUUGUUUGGCUUACAUGUGACUAACUUCAUUCCAAGUCGAAGGUUUGAUUUUUUUGUCUUGAGUGUGUGUGCUGUCGGUUAGAACAGAUACCUCAGAAACAAGGCAACGCCAGUGUGCUGUAGUGGGAGUGCGUAACAUUCAGUGUGAAUAGUCCAGCAAACCAGUCUUGAGGUGUCUUGCAACACAAUUUGUUUUUGCCCCCUUUACGGUAUGGUCAUCCAUACAUAAUUUUUUCACUGCACCAUGGUGCAAGCAGGGUACUUGCAUGGGUUCUUUAUUUGUGCGUCUUGGCGAGGAGUUGCUACUUUUGAGUAUUGCACUAAUUUCAAUGUCGUAUACAAAAAAGGAAGAGGCACAAAAAAUUUGAAUUCACGAAAGCAUUGCAUGUUAAAUUGUGCAGGCAUAAAGUGCAACUCCUCUCCUGUGAGUGCUGUGAUUCGUUUGACGAAUUUCAUUUUAUUUGAAUUCUGAGGGUAUAGAAGAGCGCAUGUACUGCCUGUAAUUACAAUCUUCGCAAGGUCCAGUUUGCUGUCUGGGCUUAGUUGUAGUCAUUUACAGUAUUUGCACGAAUAUAACGUAUAUAAGAAACAUUCAAUUACUGAAAAAAAAAGGUGUAAUAUUAGUAUGGUGAACUAACAAUCUAAUCCAGCUGUCUGCAUGGAACAAAACCGUCUGGUCUAUCAGUACGGAUGAUCCACCUGUGCCAGUGUUCAUGCUAUGCUCACACGUGUACUGCAGUAGUCACUAAUUGGUUUUCCGGACCUACGGGAACCGAAAAAUAGUUCAAAAAGCUUGUUCACCCCCCAAAAAUAAAAUUUAUUAGGCUUAGAGUGCCAUUAAAAAUCUGUAAUAAUGAUUUGCCUCAUACUACGCUAGGAGGCGAUCAGAUUUGCUUGGAUUUACUUAAGACUGACGUCUCCGUAUACAGGCGACAAGAGCAUCACCGCAUUGCCAGUCGGUGCUAACGGAGAUACAAGAAACGAGCCCCGUUAUUUCGAGUCACUUGGCUCUCGUGAAGGCACAGCAGGCGACGCUGAUCACAAAAGUGCCUAGCCGCACAAAGAUUCAACGUCCCCGAGACACGCCAUCUGCAAAGUAGCCACCGAAACUUUAAAAAAUAUCCCGCAAAGUGGUUAUGAAGAUAGUGCUGACCGAAAAAAGAAAAUGUGCCGUCCAUGACCUCUGAGACGGGAGGACGGCGCAUGCUGGGGGGUCUAUUGCAUGGCUUCAGAACGGCGCAACAAGGAAGACGACAGACAAAAGAACACACGAACACAAGCGUUAUUGAUACAAGGUCUAUUGAUAGCCUGCACCUCCUAAUCUUGGAGGCUACAGAGUGGGCCACUGGAACUCAAUCCAGUGAAAAAUCCAACAUGGUGGCCUCCAAGAUCGGGUAGCGUGGCUUGGAACGAGCUUUUUUUUUUUUUUUUUUUUU